rnacentral:lncRNA from 1 species
AUGACUGUCAUUGAGAAUUACACAGAGGGAAGGGAAAAACUCACCCAAAGAGGGUUAUUUAAGAAGGCAGGGCCCCAGCCCACCCUGCGCGAGGUCCGGGCACCCCGCUGUCGUGUCCGGGGGGGGGGCGGGGGGGCCACCCCUGUACCUCGGUCCUCACCCCGCUGCACCCCCCAGGCCUGGAGCUCAGGCCCCCCCAUCCUCCCACCCCAGCUCCGCAGGAGAGGCCUGGGGUCCGGUGCUCGGCCUGGGAUACACCCCAAGGGGGGACGCUGGGGGCGGGGUGCACAGCGCGGACCUGGGGCCCAGCCCUGGAGGGGGCAGCCUGAGCUCCGCCCUGCAAAGCCACCUCUGGCCCGCAGCCUCCUGCCUCCGGGGGAAAUCAGCCCCAGGCACCCCCACCCCACAGGGCCGAGGGGGGAGGGGGCUGAACCCCCCACGCACGCUCCCCCCCGUGCACGUGUCUCCCCGCCCCACCCCCCACCUCCGCGAGCGCGGAGAGCCGGGUCCAGAACCUGGGACGCAGGCUCCGCGGAGCGCAUGCAGCGGGCCUUGGGCAAUCGCUGGGUCCCCGCCUCUGCCCUGCCCGGCAGCCCCAGGGCGCCCUCCCCCCCCCCCCCACCAGCAGAAGUGUUCUCCUUUGCAAGCACUUCGGAGCCCGAGCCCUGGAGCAGGGACAGCGCGGGAACCUGGGCUGCAGGGGCGGUGCGGGGGUGGGGGUGGACUUCCCUGGACGGAGACCUCCCCCCGACAGUCGCUGCUGCUGCUGCUCGCGGCCACCGAGCUCGGGGCUCUGGUGGAGGAGGACUGGGGCUCACAGCUCUGGAUUCCGUGGGGCGCAUUGGGUGCACCGGGCAGAGCCUGUCACCCGGGCCCCUGCGCUCCCGGUUAACCGCGCUGGGCCCACGCCCUGCACCCUUCCCCAGCACGAGGGGACCUUGGCCAACUCCUCGUCCGACACCCUCGGGCAGCAGGUGGGGAAGCAGGCCUGGAGCUCCCCAGUCCCUAAAGGCGCACUUCUGA